AGUGAACGCUGGCGGUAGGCCUAACACAUGCAAGUCGAACGGCAGCACAGUAAGAGCUCGCCCUUACGGGUGGCGAGGGGCGGACGGGUGACGAAUACAUCGGAAACCACUUUUACUGGGGGGACAACGGAGGGCCAGAUAUGAUAAUACCGCAUAUAUCCAACGGGUGAAAGCAGGGGUUCAUCGGAGCUUUCCCGUCACAUAUAGCCGAUGUCGGAUUAGCUAGUUGGGGUGGUAACGGCCCACCAAGGCGACGAUGCGUAGCUGGUCUGAGAGGAUGAUCGGCCACACUGGAACUGAGACACGGUCCAGACUCCUACGGGAGGCAGCAGUGGGGAAUAUUGCACAAUGGGCGAAAGCCUGAUGCAGCCACACCGCGUGAGUGAAGAAGGCCUUCGGGUUGUAAAACCCUGUUGUUGGGGAAGAAAAGCAGCAGGUUAAUCCCCCGCUGUUCUGACGGUACCCAAAGAAUAAGCACCGGCUAACUUCGUG
rnacentral:rRNA from 1 species